UACGUAGGCAGCGAGCGUUGUUCGGAGUUACUGGGCGUAAAGGGUGCGUAGGCGGUCCCUUAAGUUUGGUGUGAAAUCUCCCGGCUCAACUGGGAGGGUGCGCCGGAUACUGAGGGGCUAGAGUGCGGGAGAGGAAAGUGGAAUUCCUGGUGUAGCGGUGAAAUGCGUAGAUAUCAGGAGGAACACCGGUGGUGUAAACGGCUUUCUGGACCGUAACUGACGCUGAGGCACGAAAGCGUGGGGAGCAAACAGGAUUAGAUACCCUGGUAGUCCACGCCCUAAACGAUGCACGUUUGGUGUGGGUGAUUCAGUUCAUCCGUGCCGGAGCUAACGCGUUAAACGUGCCGCCUGGGGAGUACAGUCGCAAGGCUGAA
rnacentral:rRNA from 1 species